rnacentral:rRNA from 1 species
GAUGAACGCUGGCGGCGUGCCUAAUACAUGCAAGUCGAGCGGUAACAUGGACUUCGGUCUGAUGACGAGCGGCGGACGGCUGAGUAACGCGUAGGAACGUACCCCAAACUGAGGGAUAACUGCUCGAAAGAGUAGCUAAUACCGCAUGUGCUCUAAGGAGUAAAGCUUCGGCGGUUUGGGAACGGCCUGCGUACGAUUAGAUUGUUGGUGAGGUAAUGGCUCACCAAGUCGAUGAUCGUUAGCUGGUCUGAGAGGAUGAUCAGCCAGACUGGGACUGAGAACGGCCCAGACUCCUACGGGAGGCAGCAGUAGGGAAUUUUCCACAAUGGACGAAAGUCUGAUGGAGCAACGCCGCGUGCAGGAUGAAUGCCUUCGGGUUGUAAACUGCUUUUAUAUGUGACGAAUAUGACGGUAGCAUAUGAAUAAGGAUCGGCUAACUCCGUG